UACAGGGGGGGCAAGCGUUGUUCGGAAUUACUGGGCGUAAAGGGCUCGUAGGCGGCCAACUAAGUCACACGUGAAAUCCCCAGGCUCAACCUGGGAACUGCGUGUGAUACUGGAUGGCUUGAAUUCGGGAGAGGGAUGCAGAAUUCCAGGUGUAGCGGUGAAAUUCGUAGAUAUUAGGAAGAACACCAGUGGCGAAGGCGGCUCACUGGCUCGGUACUGACGCUGAGGCGCGAAAGCGUGGGGAGCAAACAGG
rnacentral:rRNA from 1 species